GAUGAACGCUGGCGGCGUGCCUAACACAUGCAAGUCGAGCGGCAGCGAGGGGUGCUUGCACCCUGUCGGCGAGCGGCGGACGGCUGAGUAACGCGUGGGAACGUGCCCCAAAGUGAGGGAUAACUGCCCGAAAGGGUAGCUAAUACCGCAUAUUAUCUUCGGAUCAAAGGAUUUAUCCGCUUUGGGAGCGGCUCGCGUCGGAUUAGGUAGUUGGUGAGGUAAUGGCUCACCAAGCCGACGAUCCGUAGCUGGUCUGAGAGGAUGACCAGCCAGACUGGAACUGAGACACGGUCCAGACUCCUACGGGAGGCAGCAGUGAGGAAUCUUCCACAAUGGGCGAAAGCCUGAUGGAGCAACGCCGCGUGCAGGACGAAGGCCUUCGGGUUGUAAACUGCUUUUAUAAGUGAGGAAUAUGACGGUAACUGAUGAAUAAGGAUCGGCUAACUACGUG
rnacentral:rRNA from 1 species